UGCAUCUCUUUUAAACUCAUUCCCUAUCUUCCAUGAUAGGGAAUAGCUCAGGUUUCAGCCUCACAAGCUCUGUAACACAGCUCUGCCAGAGAUAGCAGUGAUAGAUAGAA